AUUGACCGCUGGCGGCAGGCCUAACACAUGCAAGUCGAACGCAUGGCGGACGGGUGAGUAAUGUCUGGUAAACUGCCCGAUGGAGGGGGAUAACUACUGGAAACGGUAGCUAAUACCGCAUACCAUCGGAUGUUCCCCGAUGGGAUUAGCUAGUAGGUGGGGUAAUGGCUCACCUAGGCGCCGUCCCCUAGCUGGUCUGAGAGGAUGACCAGCCACACUGGGACUGAGACACGGUCCAGACUCCUACGGGAGGCAGCAGUGGGGAAGAUUGCACAAUGGGCGAAAGCCUGAGGCAGCCAUGCCGCGUGUAUGAAGAAGGCCUUCGUGUUGGAAAGUACUUUAAGCAAGGAGGCGUUACUCGCAGAAGAAGAACCGGCUAACUCCGUGCCAGCAGCCGCGGUAAUUC
rnacentral:rRNA from 1 species